AGCUACGGCCAUACACACCUGAAAGCCCCCAUCCCGUCCGAUCUGGGUAGGUAAACAGGUGCUGGCCCAGUCAGUACUGCCGUAGGAGACUAGGCGGGAAUACUGGGUGCUGUAGUUU
rnacentral:rRNA from 1 species